GAUGAACGCUGGCGGCGUGCCUAAUACAUACCAGUCGAGCGAACAGACGAGGAGCUUGCUCCUCUGACGUUAGCGGCGGACGGGUGAGUAACACGUGGAUAACCUACCUAUAAGACUGGGAUAACUUCGGGAAACCGGAGCUAAUACCGGAUAAUAUAUUGAACCGCAUGGUUCAAUAGUGAAAGACGGUUUUGCUGUCACUUAUAGAUGGAUCCGCGCCGCAUUAGCUAGUUGGUAAGGUAACGGCUUACCAAGGCAACGAUGCGUAGCCGACCUGAGAGGGUGAUCGGCCACACUGGAACUGAGACACGGUCCAGACUCCUAAGGGAGGCAGCAGUAGGGAAUCUUCCGCAAUGGGCGAAAGCCUGACGGAGCAACGCCGCGUGAGUGAUGAAGGUCUUCGGAUCGUAAAACUCUGUUAUUAGGGAAGAACAAAUGUGUAAGUAACUAUGCACGUCUUGACGGUACCUAAUCAGAAAGCCACGGCUAACUACGUG
rnacentral:rRNA from 1 species